rnacentral:rRNA from 1 species
AACGAACGCUGGCGGCAUGCCUAACACAUGCAAGUCGAGCGCCCGUAGCAAUACGGGAGCGGCGCACGGGUGAGUAGCGCGUGGGAACCUGCCCAGAGGUUCGGGACAACCGCGGGAAACUGCGGCUGAUACCGGAUGAUGCCUGAGGGCCAAAGAUUUAUCGCCUUUGGAGGGGCCCGCGUCGGAUUAGGUAGUUGGUGAGGUAACGGCUCACCAAGCCUGUGAUCCGUAGCUGGUCUGAGAGGAUGAUCAGCCACACUGGGACUGAGACACGGCCCAGACUCCUACGGGAGGCAGCAGUGGGGAGUAUUGGACAAUGGGGGCAACCCUGAUCCA